AACAAAACAAAUCUAGAGAAGAAAAUGAAACUAACAAAACAUAUCUAGAGACGAAAACCAAAUAAUAAUCUACUUUUAAAUCAAUUAGACCAUAAACAUAAUCCGCAAAACUAAACUAUUAAAUUCAAAACCAUAAGUUAAAGCCCAUAGAAAAAGUGAAAAAAAUUCUUAACUAAUCUUAUCAUCUAUCACAAAAAAUGACACAAUUGCAAGAAGAAAGCAUAAAAUUGAAUAUUCUUGUUCAUUUUUAUAAUUAUAUCAUGUCCAAUUGUAAUGUACUAAAUAUUCAUUUUAUUUGACUGUUUAUUUUUAUUGUACUAAAAUUCAUCUUAUAACUUUUACUUCGUAUUCCAUCGGAAAGGUGGGUUAGGAAAGGUUCUGUUCUUAGCCCAUCCACCGCUUCACAACCACCUUUCCCACCGCUUCUCUUGCUCGUCGGCGACUGGCGUUUUAUCUUCUGCCGUCGCCGGUUGGUUAGGGGGUUGGUGAGGUUCCGAUUAUCCAACAAAACAAGAAGCCAAGGUUAUCCUUAACGCCACCGUCAAAAGAAAAUUCGUUAAUCGUGUUCCCGGCGGUAAGGGUGAAGUUAAGGCUAGGGUUUUCUCUCUUAAUCCAAGGUUGGGUUUCGGUGAGGGAUCUUCUCGCGUUGGUCUUUUAAGGCUGCUGUUUGCGUUAGGUUUCGAUUCCGACGGUGAGGUAGUUCUUUAUGGUACUCUUCUUCCAGUGACUCUCAAUUUCAUAGCUUGUUUGCUUUCUUUGUGUCUAAUAAUUGAAUUCCUUUCCAUAUCUUGUUUGCUAGUAGUGGAUUUUGUGGAAAGGGUUUCUUUGUUGAGGUUUGGUGGUGAUUGUCUUUUUCUUGUUUGGGUUUAUAACUUCGUUUUAGUGUGGUUACUUUGGCUUGUGCAUCUGUCAAAGCGAACGGAGGUAGUAGUUCUAAGUCUUGGGGGUUGGGCUGAUUGGCCUCCCUGGUUGUUUGGGGAAGUAGGUAGUUUGCAGGAAGACAAGUCAUAUAGACGUUUGUUUAACUCCUCUUGUCUUAGUUUAGAUGAAGUUGGUAAGACUACUCUAUUUGGGGUUUUGGUCUUAAAGUGAGUAAUUCCUCGCGUUUUACUUUAGGACCUUUGAAGAUGGAAGACGCCAACGGGGGUCUUAGUUUACAAGAUCCUCCUUUUGCGCAAUUUUUUUUUUUUUUAAUAUCUUUUCAGAUAAGUGGUGAGGAGUAUGUUACGUUGUUUUGUUUGAGGAUUGCAAUCUCCGUUUUGGAAAGACGGAGGAAUGUUUAGAAUUAACAUUGGUUAAUUGUAUUUUUAAGUCUUUGUUUCGCUUAGCAAUGGUAGGGGUUAUCAUUGCUUUGUUUAACCUGUAUCUGAAGGAGGUACUUUGAGAACCUUUGUUACAUCAAAAAAAUCAGAUUUUUGA